rnacentral:rRNA from 1 species
CACUUAUUUGACGUUAGCGACAGAAGAAGCACCGGCUAACUCCGUGCCAGCAGCCGCGGUAAUACGGAGGGUGCGAGCGUUAAUCGGAAUUACUGGGCGUAAAGCGCAUGCAGGUGGUUUGUUAAGUCAGAUGUGAAAGCCCCGGGGCUCAACCUCGGAAUAGCAUUUGAAACUGGCAGACUAGAGUACUGUAGAGGGGGUAGAAUUUCAGGUGUAGCGGUGAAAUGCGUAGAGAUCUGAAGGAAUACCGGUGGCGAAGGCGGCCCCCCUGGACAGAUACUGACACUCACGAUGCGAAAGCGUGGGGACGCAAACAGGAUUAGAUACCCUGGUAG